rnacentral:rRNA from 1 species
AAAGCUCCGGCGGUGCAGGAUGAGCCCGCGGCCUAUCAGCUUGUUGGUGAGGUAGUGGCUCACCAAGGCGACGACGGGUAGCCGGCCUGAGAGGGCGACCGGCCACACUGGGACUGAGACACGGCCCAGACUCCUACGGGAGGCAGCAGUGGGGAAUAUUGCACAAUGGGCGAAAGCCUGAUGCAGCGACGCCGCGUGAGGGAUGACGGCCUUCGGGUUGUAAACCUCUUUCAGCAGGGAAGAAGCGAAAGUGACGGUACCUGCAGAAGAAGCGCCGGCUAACUACGUGCCAGCAGCCGCGGUAAUACGUAGGGCGCAAGCGUUGUCCGGAAUUAUUGGGCGUAAAGAGCUCGUAGGCGGCUUGUCACGUCGGUUGUGAAAGCCCGGGGCUUAACCCCGGGUCUGCAGUCGAUACG